rnacentral:rRNA from 1 species
CAGCAGUCGCCGCGGGAAUACGGAGGGUGCAAGCGUUAAUCGGAAUUACUGGGCGUAAAGCGCACGCAGGCGGUCUGUCAAGUCAGAUGUGAAAUCCCCGGGCUUAACCUGGGAACUGCAUUUGAAACUGGCAGGCUAGAGUCUUGUAGAGGGGGGUAGAAUUCCAGGUGUAGCGGUGAAAUGCGUAGAGAUCUGGAGGAAUACCGGUGGCGAAGGCGGCCCCCUGGACAAAGACUGACGCUCAGGUGCGAAAGCGUGGGGAGCAAACAGGAUUAGAUACCCCUGUAGUCCCUGUCUCUUAUAC